UCGGCCCAGACUCCUACGGGAGGCAGCAGUAGGGAAUCUUCCGCAAUGGACGAAAGUCUGAGGGAGCAACGCCGCGUGAGUGAGGAAGGCUUUCGGGUCGUAAAACUCUGUUGUUAGGGAAGAACAAGUGCUAGUGGAAUAAGCGGGCACCUGGACGGUACCUAACCAGAAAGCCAGGGCUAACUACGUGCCAGCAGCCGCGGUAAUACGUAGGUGGCAAGCGUUAUCCGGAAUUAUUGGGCGUAAAGCGCGCGCAGGUGGUUUCUUAAGUCUGAUGUGAAAGCCCACGGCUCAACCGGGGAGGGUCAUUGGAAACUGGGAGACUUGAGUGCAGAAGAGGAAAGUGGAAUUCCAUGUGUAGCGGUGAAAUGGGUAGAGAUAGGGAGGAACACCAGUGGCGAAGGCGACUUUCUGCUCUUACGUCCCGGGCGAGGUCACGAAACGACAAGCGGACUACGUU
rnacentral:rRNA from 1 species